AUAAAAACACAAACACACAAGCCGCGUGUGGCAACUACUCAUGCUGUUCCGUUCUCUGUCUUUGUCAUCUCUUCUCAAUGACACAUACCUUAUAUCUUAAUCUAAAUACACCGCACAUAUCCCACUUCCUUAAGUUUCGCCAAAUUCUCUUUCUCUCUCUCAUCCAAAUCUAAUCACAAUUAGAUACAAGCAAAAGGAAAAUACCAAUAGGCACCACCAAGUUUGGAGUUUAAGUUUGUGUCUCCAAACGCAUGGGUUAUUCCACCUUGUUGCUCAACGCGUCUUUCCUCAUCGUCUUCUCUGUUUUCCUUGUUCUUCAUGUCAGCUCUCCUUCAGAACAGGUUCCUCUGAGAAAGUACCAUUUUACCCCUGGUGACAUUGAUGAGAAUGAUGAUUCUUGCAAGAGCUUUCACAGCCUCAGUGACAACGAAGCAAAGUGCUUGUACUUGAAAUCCAAUGACCCUUGUGUCACUGAGGGUUAUGUUGAUUAUCUAUACCUUUUUUACUGCAAAUUUGGGGAUUUUGCUGUUUUUGGUCAAACCCUUUUGUUCCUUUGGCUAUUGGUCUUGUUCUACCUUCUAGCUAACACUGCUUCUGAAUACUUUUGUCCAUCCCUUGAGAGCCUCUCAAAAUUGCUGAGAUUGUCCCCAACAGUUGCUGGAGUAACCCUCCUUUCCCUUGGCAAUGGUGCCUGUGAUGUCUUUGCAACACUUGUUUCCUUCAAUGGCAGUGGCACUGGAGGUAUUGGAUUCAACACUGUGCUUGGGGGUGCUUCCUUUGUGUCCUGCGUUGUGGUUGGGAUUGUUAGCAUAUCGGUUAGGCAUCGAGGAAUUCGAGUUAAGAAGUCUGCAUUGAUAAGAGAUGUCAGUUUUCUUCUCUUUGUGCUUGUGUGCUUGUUCGCGAUCUUAAUUGCCGGCGAGAUCAAUGUUAUUGGGGCAAUUAGCUUCUGUUUGAUGUAUGUUGUUUAUGUGGUUAUUGUCUACAUCUCGUCGACCCGGUGGAAGGGUGACUCUAGCGACAGUCAAUCGAGUAAUGGCGACGAUCCGGCCGUGCCCCUUAUCAUUGGAAUGGAGAAAGGAGUAAUUGGUAAUGAUGAAAAUGGAUCUCAAGAAUGUAGGUUCAACUUUGAGGAGAAAUUCUGCUUUAAGAAAUCUCCAAUAUGUAGAUUUUCACUUUGUGUCUUGGAGUUGCCACUUUACUUGCCAAGGAGAUUGACAAUUCCGGUUGUUUGUGAAGAGAGAUGGUCCAAACCAUAUGCAAUUCUAUCAGCCCUGUUAUCACCAUUGCUAUUGUCUUCUCUCUGGACCCCGGGAAGCCUAACCGUCUAUGGAACCGGAUUAUUAAUCGGAAUCAUCUUAGCCGUAGCCGCGUUCUUCACCACCGAGCCAUCUAGUCCGCCGAAGAAGUACAUGUUCCCUUGGCUUGCAGGGGGGUUUGUGAUGAGUGUUACAUGGAGUUACAUUUCAGCUCAAGAACUGGUUGGAUUGUUGGUCUCACUUGGUUACAUAUGUGGAAUUAGUCCUUCAAUUUUGGGGCUAACAGUUCUUGCUUGGGGAAAUUCAAUUGGAGACUUAGUGACAAAUUUGACUAUGGCAUUACAUGGUGGGACAGAAGGUGCUCAAAUUGCAAUAUCAGGUUGUUAUGCUGGCCCUAUAUUCAACACUGUGAUUGGAUUAGGCUUAUCCCUUGCAAGUUCAACUUGGUCACAGUAUCCAAAUUCUGUUAUUAUACCAAAAGAUCCAUAUCUUUGGGAAACACUAACACUUUUGGUAAUUGGAUUGAUUUGGGCACUUUUGGUGUUGGUAAGAAGGGAUAUGAAGCUUGAUUCACUCUUAGGGGGAGGGCUUCUUGCCGUUUACUUCAUUUCAUUGUUUCUGAGGCUGAUUCAGACAUUAGGGACUUGCCAAUUUCAGGAUAUAUUACCAAAAUGAACAACAUUUUUGGGUCAGAUGUUUUAGCAACUGACACUAUUUUUCUGUAAAGGAGAACUUAUACCAUGCCACUGUGAUUAGUCCUUACGCAAUGGGAUGGCAAAGUAGGAGAGAAAAAUCAAGUGCCAAAGUUACGUUUGGGAUAGAAAUCUAUCUAUCUAGCCUGAUUUUUUGGUUCAAUAACCAGAAUUUAGUUAUUUACUAUCAACGUUUUCAUGUCUCAUAACAUAAGGCCAAGAUCAUGUCGAAAAAAAUAUGUGAUGAAAAUUUUGUUUGAAGUUGAAUUGAAACUUGGGUGUG